AGUGGCGCACGGGUGAGUAACACGUAGGUAACCUACCCCUCGGUGGGGGAUAACCUUCCGAAAGGAGGGCUAAUACCGCGUACGAUCUCGAGGGCGAGAGUCUUCGAGAGGAAAGCCGGCCUCUUCAUGAAAGCUGGCGCCGAGGGAUGGGCCUGCGCCCCAUCAGCUUGUUGGCAGGGUAACGGCCUACCAAGGCGACGACGGGUAGCUGGUCUGAGAGGAUGAUCAGCCACACUGGAACUGAGACACGGUCCAGACUCCUACGGGAGGCAGCAGUGGGGAAUCUUGCGCAAUGGGCGAAAGCCUGACGCAGCGACGCCGCGUGAGCGAUGAAGGCCCUAGGGUUGUAAAGCUCUGUGGAGUGGGACGAAUUAGCGCGGGCUAAUACCUCGCGUGAUGACGGUACCUCUUUAGCAAGCACCGGCUAACUCUGUGCCAGCAGCCGCGGUAAGACAGAGGGUGCGAACGU
rnacentral:rRNA from 1 species